rnacentral:rRNA from 1 species
UGAGGAAUAUUGGUCAAUGGGCGCGAGCCUGAACCAGCCAAGUAGCGUGAAGGAUGAAGGUCCUAUGGAUUGUAAACUUCUUUUAUACGGGAAUAAAGUGGUCCACGUGUGGACUUUUGCAUGUACCGUAUGAAUAAGCAUCGGCUAACUCCGUGCCAGCAGCCGCGGUAAUACGGAGGAUGCGAGCGUUAUCCGGAUUUAUUGGGUUUAAAGGGAGCGCAGACGGGGGAUUAAGUCAGUUGUGAAAGUUUGCGGCUCAACCGUAAAAUUGCAGUUGAUACUGGUUCCCUUGAGUGCAGUUGAGGCAGGCGGAAUUCGUGGUGUAGCGGUGAAAUGCAUAGAUAUCACGAAGAACCCCGAUUGCGAAGGCAGCCUGCUAAGCUGUAACUGACGUUGAGGCUCGAAAGUGUGGGUAUCAAACAGGAUUAGAUACCCUGGUAGUCCACACGGUAAACGAUGGAUACUCGCUGUUGGCGAUAUACUGUCAGCGGCCAAGCGAAAGCAUUAAGUAUCCCACCUGGGGAGUACGCCGGCAACGGUGAAACUCAAAGGAAUUGACGGGGGCCCGCACAAGCGGAGGAACAUGUGGUUUAAUUCGAUGAUACGCGAGGAACCUUACCCGGGCUUAAAUUGCAGACGAAUUACCUGGAAGCAGGUAAGCCGCAAGGCGUCUGUGAAGGUGCUGCAUGGUUGUCGUCAGCUCGUGCCGUGAGGUGUCGGCUUAAGUGCCAUAACGAGCGCAACCCUCGUGGCCAGUUACUAGCAGGUAAUGCUGAGGACUCUGGCCAGACUGCCAUCGUAAGAUGCGAGGAAGGUGGGGAUGACGUCAAAUCAGCACGGCCCUUACGUCCGGGGCUACACACGUGUUACAAUGGGAGGUACAGAAGGCAGCUACCCGGCGACGGGAUGCCAAUCUCCAAAGCCUCUCUCAGUUCGGACUGGAGUCUGCAACCCGACUCCACGAAGCUGGAUUCGCUAGUAAUCGCGCAUCAGCCACGGCGCGGUGAAUACGUUCCC